GGGUCCGCACAAGCGGUGGAGCAUGUGGUUAAUUCGAUGAUACGCGAGGAACCUUACCUGGGCUCUAAUGUGAGUGAUGGGUGCUGAAAGGCACUGUCUCUUCGGAGCACGAAACAAGGUGCUGCAUGGUUGUCGUCAGCUCGUGCCGUGAGGUGUUGGGUUAAGUCCCGCAACGAGCGCAACCCCUAUCUCUAGUUGCCAACAUUUAAGGUGGGGACUCUAGAGAGACUGCCGGCGCAAGCCGUGAGGAAGGUGGGGACGACGUCAAAUCAUCAUGGCCUUUAUGCCCAGGGCUACACACGUGCUACAAUGGUAACUACAAAGGGUCGCGAAGCCGCGAGGUGAAGCCAAUCCCAGAAAAGUUAUCCCAGUUCGGAUUGAAGUCUGGAACUCGACUUCAUG
rnacentral:rRNA from 1 species